UACGAAGGGGGCUAGCGUUGCUCGGAAUCACUGGGCGUAAAGGGUGCGUAGGCGGGUCUUUAAGUCAGGGGUGAAAUCCUGGAGCUCAACUCCCAGAACUGCCUUUGAUACUGAGGAUCUUGAGUUCGGGGAGAGGUGAGUGGAACUGCGAGUGUAGAGGUGAAAUUCGUAGAUAUUCGCAAGAACACCAGUGGCGAAGGCGGCUCACUGGCCCGAUACUGACGCUGAGGCACGAAAGCGUGGGGAGCAACAGG
rnacentral:rRNA from 1 species